rnacentral:rRNA from 1 species
UCCGUAGGUGGAUAAUUAAGUCAGAGGUGAAAGUUUGCGGCUCAACCGUAAAAUUGCCUUUGAUACUGGUUAUCUUGAAUCAUUGUGAAGUGGUUAGAAUAUGUAGUGUAGCGGUGAAAUGCAUAGAUAUUACAUAGAAUACCAAUUGCGAAGGCAGAUCACUAACAAUGUAUUGACACUGAUGGACGAAAGCGUAGGUAGCGAACAGGAUUAGAUACCCUGGUAGUCC